rnacentral:lncRNA from 1 species
UUGAUAAGAAAAGCAGAUUAAAAUUUUAUGGAUAUAAAAUUUUUAGAGUUAAUUUCGCACAGAUCUAUACAAAUAUAGUGAAUUACAAAUAAAUCUCUACAAAGUUUAACUUUCAUAUGUUAUUGUCCUUACAAAAGUCCUAAUAUUUUCAAAUAUGUCCCUCUGUUUUGUUAUCGUUAAAGCGCUGUUUAUUUAUAAGUGAAAUGACUUUUUUGUCAUCACAAAUAUGUCCCCCCAAAAGUCCCAACUGUUAAUUGAAGAAGGAUAAAAAAAUCAAUUCACCUUAUUAACUAAGGAGGGUUAAGUAUUUUAUUUAUGGUUAACUAAUUUUUUUAACGGAUCUUAACGGCAGGAAUAUAUUUGCAAACAUCAGGACUUUUGUAGGGACAACAUAUAAAAGUUGAACUUUGUAAGGAUAUAUUUGCAGGAAUCUGUAUAAAAUUAACCCAAUUUUUUAUAUCCAUAUAUAAAAAUGUAUGAAUAGGAUUGAUAAAUUGUGAUGAAAUUAAGGGUGUGUUUGGUUCGCAUUAUGAAAGAUUACUAGGAAUAAAAGAUAUUCGAGAAUCUUAUUUCUAUUCAUCCUAUUACUAAGAAUGUGGAAUUCCUGUGUUUGGUUCGCACGGUAAUAUUAAUUAGCCAUGUUAUUUAAUAUUACAAAAAAUAUACAAUUAAUUAAUUAAUUAAUUAAUUUAAUUUUAUAUAAUAUUAUCAAAAGUUUCAACAUCUUUUUAGAAAAAAGGGAGAGAGAGUAUAAGUUAGAGAGAGAGAGCAUAAUUAAAAAAAUAGAAAGAAAAAUAUAGUCGAAAUUAGAGGGAGUGAGAGAGUUGAAAUUUUAGAAAGAGAAAGAGAGAGAAAGCUUAGUUUAGAGAGAGAAAAAAAAGUUGAAUUUUAGAGAGAAAAAUAAGUUUAGAGAGAGAUAUAAGGUUAGAGUGUAAAGAAAAAUAAUAUCAAUUAGCCGGCGCAUAAAAAAAAAGAAAGAAAUUAGACAUAUUAUGAUUACCCCAAUCCAUUAAUAUGAGGAUACCCACCCUCCCUCAAAGGAAUGAGAUUAGUACUUUGGGGUGAAUCUUAUUUCCAAGUUAAUCCAAUAUUACCAACUAGAUUACUUAGUGCGUUUAACGAAACACCGUCAUAUUUUUUUUAUUCCCAUUGGAUUAUUAGGAAUCUUUAAAAGAUAGCGCGAACCAAACGCAUCCUAAGGGUAAACUUUAGAUACCACCCAUGUGGUUUCUCACUUUCUCACUUUAGUGUACUCAUAGGUUUAAAGUGUAUCAAGUUAGUGUCUUAUUAUUUUAAUUUUAAUCUUUUCGUCAGCUUCUCCCUUAGUAUUUUAUUAAAUUAUAUACAGAAAAUUUCAGAUACCCCAUCUAGGCUUAUCGAAUAUUCACUUUAGUACUCUUUAGUUUUAACUUUGUCACUGAUUUAACAAAAAAAAUUAGUAAAAUCUAAAAAAAAAAAAAAAAAUUACAGAAUACUAAAUUGAUAUAUAUUCAACCGUAAAAUUCUAAAGUUAGAAAAUAUAAAACUACAGUGGUUAUAUUUAAAAUUUUUUCUAAAAUUAAUAUAAUAAAAAGCAACCAAAUACAUUUUUUUAGGUGUAAAGGGUGCAGUUCUCUGUCAACAACUUCAGGUUGUACAGUUGUACCCUCUUCUUUUUUUUUCAAAAAAAAAUUAUGAUACAUGCUGACGUGGCACAUUGUCAACCGUUCUUUUCCAGCCAUCACAUCAUUUUAUCUGUAUGCGAAAAAAAUAGAAAAAGGUUGUACCCAUCAUUAUUAUGGUACAACUUUUUAUGUUUGUGAAUGUGGUUUGAGAUGAGAAUAAGAUUCCCCCUUUUGACCCAGAUGCUUCUUUAAAAAAAAAAAUAAUAAUAAUAAUAAUAAAAAUUAUUAGGGGCAAUAAUGUAAAAAAAAAUGUUUGGAGACUUUUUUUUUUUUUUUUAAUGCUCUGAUAUUAGCUUAAUUGUAAGUAAAAUAGUGUAAUACUUGAUAUAAUAUAUUUUUAUUCAUUCUUUCUAAUUAUUAUAAUUUAUUAUUUUAUUCAUGAAUCACGUAAUUCUUCUCGAAAGUUAUAUUAAUUAUCUAAAUAGGUUUUUUUUGUCUCAGCAUAUUAAUCAUCAGAGAACGUAAAAUAUAUAAUACUUUAACUUUAUAUAAAAAAACUCUUAAUUUGUGACUUUUUAGCCGUCGAAUCGUCUAAAUCCAUACAACAUUUCGCGAUGUGUUUCGCUGAGUCUCUUUUACUAAAAUUGUACAAAUGUUGACAUAAUCCGACAGCUAAAAAAUUACAAGCACAUUGAGUUCGUGUAUUUUUAAAAGUAGAGGAGAUCAACUCCUAACUUAGUUGAUGAAUAACAUGAAUUAAAACAAAUAAAUUAAGAUUAGGAAUGUGUCAUUUAAAAGAGCAUAUAUAAUAAUGAUAGGGUCCUGUCCCAAAUUAUAUAUAGUUGAGGGGGUCUUCCACACAUGAAGAGUUGGAUUUCAUAAUGUUAUUGCCACAUGAUACACAAAUUAAAUAAGUAGGUGCAUGAUUAGGAAAUUUCACUAAAUUAGUUAUAUUUCAUUCUCAUCUAGGCAAUUAAAAAAAAAAAAAAGAGAAAAGAAACUUGUGUUUUUCGAAAAAAAAAAAAAUAGUCUUCUAGUUUCUAGAAGCUGCCUAGUCUUUUUUAGAAGCAAACUUUUUUAAUUUGGUGCAUCAUAAUCACAAUAAAAUUUUUCAAAGGAAAUGAGGUAAUCAUGGUCUCAUAUUCUUAAUAAUUAAGAUUAAGAAAGUGAUAGGAACUAUACCAACAAACCAAUCCAUCCACAUGCACCACUCAAAAUUGAAAAUUGUUUAAGACUCAAUCUUAAUAAUCAGCUUAUUUUAAGCAAGCUUAAUUUUGAACUUAAUUUAAUUAUGAUCUUACUUUUCGUUAAAGGAUUAGAACCUAAUCCGAAAACUUAAACUAAUUGGUUGGAAUAAUCUCUAUCUUUCUCUCUCUAUAUAUAUAAUAAAUAGAGUUUUACUUUGUAUUCAAUAUGAGACUAUUAUUCUUAACACUCCUGACACGUGUUAGGUGCUACUAACACGCUGUAUGAAUUUAAUGCAAUCGUAUAAAAUUCGCAUAUCAGAUUAUAACUAAUGUGCAGUGUAAUUCGUUACAUAUUGUUCAGUUUAGAUACGACACCCUAACUUUUUAGGGAGUCACAGCUAAGACUCAUCUCACACUUUUGGCUAAUAAUUGGCACUAAUACCAAAUACGACGCCCCAACUUUUCAGAAGGUUAUUCAUCCUAUGACUACUUUCGUCCUAACAUGUUUAACUCUCUUAAGCUCUUAGCCUUAGUCAUCACCCAAAAUGCUUAAGUCAAGUUAAUAGUAUUACAUCUAUUAUAUUAUAUAUAUAGAACUAUCUGAAGUCUCACAUUAGAUGCUAUGCACGACUAAUAUAUGAUAUAAAUAAUUUCACGCGCUAAACACCACUAACACACGAUUACUCAACCGGCCAAAAAUUAGAAAGUAUGAAAAGCUCAAAUCCAAUUUUGCCACAGCAUGUGAUAUGGACACACUUAAUAUAGUUAAAUAAAAUUUAAAAUAUCUUAAUAGUUUUUUUUUAAAAAAAAGUUAGACAAUAUAUAUAUUUUGUAGGUUUCAUAAUUUAUGACGUCCACCUUAUGUGAUUAUUAUUAUUAUUAUUUUUGCUUAUGUGAGUGUUUUUUUUUUUUUUUUUUUUUUUGUGGAGAGAGUUUCUCUCGCACAAUUAAAGAGAAAAGUUACACCCGAAAAAUAAUCGAAUUGGAACAAAAAAAAUUAUUUUAAUAACUUCAUAAUUAGUUGAAUAUCCCAAUGAAUAACAACACUACUUGUUUUGUUAUUGUCGAAUACUAUAUAUAUUUAAUCCGAUUUUGAUCCGAAUCCGAGCUUUUUCGAACCCUAACCAUUUUUGUAGAGUCUCGUUCACGGGUCUAAUUAAUGGAUUAGAUCGUAGUGUGUACACUAUCCAUGUCUUGUUUGCUACGCGACUUAAAUUUUUCCCUAUCCAUGAUUCAACUAUUUCAGAAUAUUAAAUCAUUCUCCUUAUCGCCGUUUGGAUGUUUGAAUACGUUAUACAAAAAAUUUAUUUUUCGUCGUAAAAGAAAAUUAUAAUUUACUUACAAGUUGCAAAAAAUAUAUAUAUAUAUAUAUAUAUAUAUAUAUAUAUAUAUAUAUAUAUAUAUGACAUGAUUACACUAUGGCUGAUAUACUGUACGUGCACCAUUGCUUCUACUAUUAUUGCCCUAUCAACAUCUUUAUCGUCGCCGCCGAUGGUCGUCAAUCUACCUUUGCCACCACCGUUGCUUCGUUACUCCCACCGCGUACUAUCAUUGGCUCUAUCUUAGUUGCUGCUGUUGUAUUUUCAACAUUAUUAUUAUUGUCACUACCACUGCUACUACUGCAGAAACCAUCAUUGCUACUGUUGUCGCCGCUGCCACCACUGCUAUCGUCGCUGCAGCCAUUGCCACCACCACCACCGUUGCCAUCGCCACUGCCAUAGUCGCCAUCGCUACUACCGACACCAUAUACACGUUGUCGCAUGCAACCAUAUAAAUCAAUCCAUAUCUAAUAGCAAUUCCGAUUUUUAUUCUAAACCAAAUUGACCCCCACUCCAAUCCAUUUCAAGUUUUAUUCCCAUUUUGAUGCAAACUCAUCCUUAAAAUAAGACUUUCUUAUCUCAGAGUGGAGAGUAUCAACUAACUGUUCUAAGUAGUAUUAAUAUUAUGAGGUAUUUAUUCUCAUAUCUAAUCUAAAUUCUCUACUGACAUUUUACUAAUUUUUGUUUAAAAACUAGGAUCAUAAUAUUAAUAAUUGCAUCAUUUUAACUAUUAACAGAGAGAUUCAUUUAACGCAAUUAUAUAUCAUUCAUCUCGACUAAAUUCGAUCAGAUAGCGUGGAUCUAAUCUCGCAUUUUAGAAAAGAACUAUUUUAGAUAAGCAAACACCAUCCAAAGGUGAAUAUAUGAACUUGGUUUCAUUCAUUGUGACAUGAAAAGCACCACUUUCCCUUUCUUAAGUGCACUACACGCUUGUUAUGUUGAUGUCACAUUAUUAUCCAAAUAGGGGAAACUUAUCAUCUUUGUACUACUCCCUGUAAUUCAUGCAACUUUGACACUGAUUUGGUACAAAAUUUAGGCCAGGUUCAUUGUAGGGGAGCAAAAGGACACAAAGGAGACAAGAUAUGAAGUAUUUUGUGGACCCUUUUGUUCACUAAAAAGUAGGGGGAGUGGGUUAAGUUAACCACAAAGCUAACCAUUUUCGAAAAAGAACCUUUAUCUCUAGCUUAUACAAAAAAAAAAAGAAAAAAGAAAAAAGAAAACUUAAACAAUUAUUGUCCCAUUAAUAUAGAGUACCAUUGAUGCAAACAUAGGAACUAAUGCUAUAAAUAAUCCCAAAUAUUAUGUAAUAUUUAGUGGUUAAUAUUAGUUAGCAUGAUUAGAGAUAUUGUUACGUAAAUAAAAUACUAUUAUCAUAUCUCAAAGCACACGAACGAAACUCCACGAUCUUCGGUUGAAGCUGACUCGAAUCAUGUUCACACUUUUAGUGCUUCAAGAUUCAGCAUUUGCUACUAAGCAUUUUGAAAAUGAUCUGCUUUUGCUUUCAGUAACAGAUAACCGGCCAUCUGUAAUAAGCAUUUAGUAAAUAAAUCAUGAUAUAUAUACUACAGCAAAAAUCAAAGAUAAGAUUCUGCAAUCCUAAGACAGAAACUUGUAAUUUGAAACUUAAAACUUUAAUUAUGUAUAAAGAAAAUUCAUUAAAGAAAUUUUAGUGUAAUGCUUAUUUUUUCUAUAAGCACUACUAAAGUAACACUUUGUUUAACGACACGACACCCUAUAAUAAGGCGAAAGACUUUUAAGAUGUAUAUAGCUAACCAAAUUUAUAGUAGUGAGGGCUCCUAAGAUUCUAAGUUCAACAUCAACAAUCCCACCAAAUUGGCUCUAAAUUUUUUUUAAAAAAAUAAUAAUAUUAAUCAACUUAUCCCAUUAUUACUAUUUUUCUAUUAUUAUUCUCCUUGCUUUAUC